GAUGAAGAACGUAGUGAAAUGCGAUACUUGGUGUGAAUUGCAGAAUCCCGUGAACCAUCGAGUCUUUGAACGCAAGUUGCGCCCGAAGCCAUUAGGCCGAGGGCACGCCUGCCUGGGCGUCACACGUCGUUGCCCCCCCAUCUACUCCUUCGGGAUUGCGGGGGGCGGAUGAUGGCCUCCCGUGCGCCACGCCGCGCGGUUGGCAUAAAUGCCAAGUCCUCGGCGACGCACGCCACGACAAUCGGUGGUUGCGAAACCUCGGUUGCCCGUCGUGUGCGGUCGUCGCGCAUCGAGGGCUCGAAAAAAUUGCCGGGUUCCGGCUCGGCUUUCAACGCGACCCCAGGUCUGGCGGGGUUACCCGCUGAAUUUAAGCAUAUCAAUAAGCGGAGGA
rnacentral:misc_RNA from 1 species